ensembl:lncRNA
GCCCUGUGUGGGUGGGGUCACAGAUGCCUUAUUAUAGCCCAAAUCCCCCCUGAAAAAAGCAAUCAGGGCUUCAAUAAAUCAAUUAACCAGUUAAUUAGCUCACAGAACGACAAAAGCCCAACUGAUAAAUCAGAUUUACCCUUUUAUGAGGAUUGUCCUCUGCUAAUUUAAGGAGUUCCGUGACUUACCCAGAAGCCUCUGUCAGGGCCUCCUGGAUUGUCCAUGUCCAGGGCUCUGGGCGCCACCACCGCUCAUGGGUGACCUUGAGAACGCUGUCUCUACGCCAGGUUAGUGACAGAGAGCUGACGCACAGAGGGUGGACUGAACAUGGCUGCUUUCACUCUCGAUCCAAGGGACCUUUCACAAGGCAAGGCUUCCAGAGCCCUGGAUAAAGAGAACGGGAGACAGGGCGGCAACAAAGCUGGCAAGGAGCGGAAGUGGUACCCGAGGCCGAGGCCCAGGUCGGCUCCACCGUGUCUCCCUGAGGAAAGCCAAGCUGGGGCUCAGGUGGGCAAAGAGCAGCAGCAAAGACUGACGAUGUGGUGGACGGUGCAGCAGGAAUCCCAGGUGCUCUCCUCACCCCACGGCCUGGGCACUGUCAGCCCCUGUCCAAAGCCUGCGGCCUACCCUCGGGCCCGGGUCAAAUCCAGGCCCCCGCCCUGGGGUGCAGAGCCAAGCUGACAACAGGGGUGCGGGUGCGUGCACCAGGCCCUCCCAGCCUCUUCCCCCCUCAUCUCCUCUGGAGGCAGCUCUGAUAAAGGUCAAAAUGUGUGGGCCAGGGAUUUAGCUCAGUGGUUCCACCGCCUGCCCUGCAAGCGAAAGGACCCAAGUUCGACCCCCUGUACAAAAAAAAACAAAACCAGAAAGAAUACUUCCUACCAAGUUAGGGAUAGUCUUUUAAAUUUUCAACUUGCUUGAUGUUGAUACCCAGUUAAAUUUCUCCCAGGAGAAAGAAAGGAAAUGGGACUAAAGAAGACACUCAGUGGGCCCUUCAGGCACCCAGAGAGCUGGUGGGAAGGGGCAUCGGAAGGGGAGGGAGACAGGGAAAUGGCACUCUUGCGGGGACAGGAGAGACCCCUCACUUCCCUGCAUAUACAGUAAUGCUUUCAUGGUCUCAGCUGGAAGUGGCCCGGCUCCCUGCUGACUCGGGCACCAGCACUGUCACCCAUGGUGCCCGUGGCUUUCUGAAAGGCUUCAGCUUGCCAUCCUGAAGACCCUGCCACCGAACACCCAGAAAGCACAGCAGCUUCCUCCGUGGGGUCUGGCCACCUCAGCUAGCUACGAUUUCAGGGCUUGCUGGAUGCACCCACAGCCUGCACUCCCGUGGUUUAAGUCUGCAGCGUGGACACGAUGAGCAGACAGACCCGCCUCGUCCUCAGCAAUGGAGACCAUGCUUCUGUGUCCGUGCUCGGCCUGGCCUCUCACCUGCCUCUGCAUCUCUUCCAUCUGUCUUCUCGGGAUGCUCUGCAGGACACCAUACAUGUCAGCUAUCUUCUCUUCCGGCACCACCACAGACGCCCUGGAGAUGACAGCAGGACAGCCGGUGUGCAUCCAACCCUCAGAAGCAGCUCCGGGCCCUCUCUUGUUUCCUUCUCAUGAGCAGAAACAACACCCAGAGCUGCUUCAGCCUCAUGUCUCCCGGAACAUGUUCUCCCCACCUCCCCUUCUCAUGCUGGCCUCCUCUAUGGCAUCAUCUCAGCUGCCUUGAUUCCUCACCUCCCACUCACCCUAUUUAUCUUUCAUUGGCCUCCAUGUCUGAUCCUCUUGGUCACUCAGCACACCACACUCUGCCCUGCCACAGGGCCUUUGUAUGUGAAAUGCCGCCUCCUUACAUACUCUUCUUCCCUUUUCUCUGAUCUUGCUGUAUUAACAAUGACUUGCCAACUGUAGUUCUGUUCAUAAAGCCUUUCAUUCAGUCAACAUUUAUGUACAGGGGCCCUAUUAUAUGCCAGGCCAGCAGAGAGCAAAUCAGACAGGGAAGGUGAGGGCCAAGGAGGCCAUGAGAAUGCCUGAGGGCCAGGGAGUGAAAGGGCCUGAGGACCGGGCAGGCUGGGUUUGUGGCAGAGAACAGCAGGAGCCUGGCAGAGAGAGGGGAGCGUGAGUCACCUUGGAGUAUAGGUGGCUGCUGUGUAAGAACAAAGCAUGGGAAAGCAAGCCCAGGAGCGGGGCGCCUAGCUGGGAAGCCUACCAGAGGAGGAAGAGGAGGAAGAGGAGGGAGGACCCACCCAGGACCCUUCUCUCAGGGCCUCAAGAAGUCUGGGAUGAUCCUUGGAUAGAGGAACUGACUAAAAUCUAAGGCCAUUCCUCCAGCAACCCCUGCCGGUACCCAGCGCACCACGGGCCCUUGGCAAACACUGGUGAACUAAGUCAAUGAUUUCUACUACGUGGAGGGGAAAACUGAGGCUCAAAAAGGGUCAAUCGGCCAUGAUCACAGAUCCAGACAGCACAGAGCUGGUUCCUAUGCUGAGGCUGCUGGCUUCAAACCCAGAGGCCUCCUGCUACUCACCCAUGAUCUAAGCUACCCAAGCAGAUCUGGAUUCUCACAGAGACACCCUUUUACCCCCAGCUCACGGUCACCACCCAGGUGAAGCCCUCCCCGAGCCCUCUCUCUCCUCCUGGCAGCCUAAACAGCAGGGAGGUCUCCUCACUGCAUUUGGUAACUGCUCAUGUACUUGUCUAUCUUCCACCACUAAACCCUGAGCACCCUGGAAGAAAGGCCUGAUUGUUAUUGUCUUCUCAUACCUGAUGGCGCCUGGCAAAUAACAGGUGCUCAAUGGAUAUUUUCAUAGGCGAGUGAAUGCUGGAUGCCGCUCUUCACUUCUCUAAGAUCUAAGAAACAACUUUACACUCUCCUCUCUCAACCAGACUCAGGCUCCUUCCUCUUUUCAGGCUUCCAGAGCCCCUGUGCUAAUAUCUGCUAUGGCAUUUCCACAGCCUGUUGUUCAAGUUGAGCACCCCAAUCCAAAACAUCCAAAUCUGAAAUGCUCCAAAAUCUGAAAUAUUUUUACUGCCAAUACGAU